GGCCGUGAAUCGCCUACAGGCACUGCAUCGGCGCUUGUGCACCGAACUGGGAAACGAAAAGGGACUGGAGUCCAAAAUCACGGCAGCCCUAAAUGAAAGCGUGUUCGAAAUGUGGAAGAUUGAAAUAGAGCAAGGGAACUUCGCCAAACUCCGCAAGCAGCUCAAAGUGGACGAGGCAGAGCUGGAUCAGCAGCGGCAAGACCAGGCUGAGGAGAGGCUCCAGAAACAGAACGACUUGGCCCAGCUCUUGAGCCAAAAAUGGCAGAGCAACGAAAG